ACCAGAUCAACCUUGUUGGUCCUCCACAGCUCAGCACACCUGACCUCCAUCCACCACUCAACUCUGCAGUAUAUAAAGCCAACCCUGACAUCCAGUCCCUGCUGGAUUGCUGUGCUGCACCCGGUACUUGAGCUGUGAGACACAUACAUGACAUGCUGAUCCUGUGGUGUAGCCUCGAACCAGCGGCUCAGACAGCCACAUCCACACACUUUCUCACCUAUGGAGAUGUGUCUGGAAGUACCAAAGAUGAAGUAGAUCAGCACCGGGUAGAGGGACGUGUACAGGCCGAACACAGGCCGUAAGGAAGCCAGAAGAGCAUAUGCCAUGCCUGUAAUUCCCUGUGCUCACCCUGCGUAUCCUUUGUCAUCAGCCUCGCCUGCACCGGCCUCCCUGCUACGGACCCAGAGCCAACACCCAAUCCUUCAGGGGCAAGAUUCUUCCCUUGCCCAUGCCACAUCCCUCCACCAAGUUUGGUGCAAAUCGGUUCAGCACUUUUUGCAAAUAAACAGACAUGGGUGAAAUCUUAACCUCCUUUGUGGAUGUAAUAAUAAUAAUAAGACUAGUAAUAAUAAUUGCUGCAGUGGGUGGCUUGAAGUCACAGAUCUGGACUACAUUUUCACAAAAUGUCCAAUAUCAGUAAGAUUUAUAAGGUGUAAACAGCUGAAACAGUUUUCAUUAAUGUUGAAUAUACAACUAAACCUUUCAUGACCACUGUCUUUUUGCUGAUUUUGGAAACUUGAUUGAGGAAGUUUUUUUCACUUAACUCCAAGACAGAAAGAGAAUACACAUAUUUCCCAACAUGUCAAACUCAACCUUUAAAGUGACAAGUUUGCUAAGUUUGUGAGGUGUGAUGUGGAUAAACUGUGCGCUCCCUCCACUCUACACAUUCAUG